rnacentral:rRNA from 1 species
GCCNACNNUGGCGGCGUGGAUAAGGCAUGCAAGNUCGAACGCGAACAGAACAACUAAUUCGUUAGUAGUUCUAAGUAGAGCGGCGAACGGGUGAGUAACACGUGGAUAACAUACCUUUCAGUGGGGAAUAACAUCGGGAAACUGAUGCUAAUACCGCAGAUGUCAUUUCAUUGAUUUUGAUUUGAUUAAAGGGGGGGCUCCUUCGGGACCUUCCGCUGAUUGAUUGGUCCGCGGCCCAUUAGCUUGUUGGUGGGGUAAUGGCCUACCAAGGCUGCGAUGGGUAGCCGGCCUGAGAGGGUGUCCGGCCACACUGGGAUUGAGAUACGGCCCAGACUCCUUCGGGAGGCAGCAGUCGAGAAUCUUCCACAAUGUACGAAAGUAUGAUGGAGCGACGCCGCGUGUGUGAUGAAGGCUUUAUGAGUUGUAAAGCACUGUCAGAGGGGAAGAACAAGCGUAUAAUUAAUAUGUGUACGCUCUGACGUACCCUCAGAGGAAGCUCCGGCUAACUCCGUGCCAGCAGCCGCGGUAAUACGAAGGGC